rnacentral:rRNA from 1 species
AGAAGAGUAAUAUUUUAAAUUCUAAAUUAGUAGUAGUUAUGUUCUUGAAAAUUAAUAAAGAUGGCGGUAUCUUAGUCCAUUCAGAGGAACCUGUCCUGUAAUUGAUAAUCCACGUUCUAAUUUACUUAUUUUAUAUAAUUUAUAUAUCGCUGUAGCUUUGAAUAUUUCUUUUGAAUUUUAAUAUUCAGGAUUUUUUUAGAAAAAAACUCAAGUCAAGAUGUAGUUUAUAAAUAAGGAGAGAUGGGUUACAUUAUUAUUAUAUUUGGAUAUAGGUUUGUGAAAUUUGUUGAAAUUGGAUUUGAUAGUAAUUUAGAAUAGGUUUUCUAGAUGAUUGAGCUCUUGGAU